rnacentral:rRNA from 1 species
GCAAGUCGAACGGUAACAUGAGAGUUGCUCUUGAUGACGAGUGGCGCACGGGUGCGUAACGCGUAUGUAAUCUACCCUUUACUGGAGAAUAGCCCUUGGAAACGAGGAAUAAUACUCCAUAGUAUAACAAUUUCGCAUGUUAUUGUUAUUAAAGCUUCGGCGGUAAAGGAUGGGCAUGCGGCCCAUUAGUUAGUUGGUAAGGUAACGGCUUACCAAGACUCCGAUGGGUAGGGGGCCUGAGAGGGUUAUC